UACGGGGGGAGCAAGCGUUGUUCGGAUUUACUGGGCGUAAAGGGCUCGUAGGCGGCCAACUAAGUCGGAUGUGAAAUCCCCAGGCUUAACCUGGGAACUGCAUCCGAUACUGGAUGGCUUGAAUCCGGGAGAGGGAUGCGGAAUUCCAGGUGUAGCGGUGAAAUGCGUAGAUAUCUGGAGGAACACCGGUGGCGAAGGCGGCGUCCUGGACCAAUUCUGACACUGAGGAGCGAAAGCCAGGGGAGCAAACGGG
rnacentral:rRNA from 1 species